rnacentral:rRNA from 1 species
AGCGAACGCUGGCGGCAGGCCUAACACAUGCAAGUCGAACGAACCUUUCGGGGUUAGUGGCGGACGGGUGAGUAACACGUGGGAACGUGCCUUUAGGUUCGGAAUAACUCAGGGAAACUUGUGCUAAUACCGAAUGUGCUCUUCGGGGGAAAGAUUUAUCGCCUUUAGAGCGGCCCGCGUCUGAUUAGCUAGUUGGUUGAGGUAAUGGCUCACCAAGGCGACGAUCAGUAGCUGUUCUUAGAGGAUGUUCAGCCACAUUGGGACUGAGACACGGCCCAAAAUCCUACGGGAGGCAGCAGUGGGGAAUCUUGCGCAAUGGGCGAAAGCCUGACGCAGCCAUGCCGCGUGAAUGAUGAAGGUCUUAGGAUUGUAAAAUUCUUUCACCGGGGACGAUAACGACGGUACCCGGAGAAGAAGCCCCGGCUAACUUCGUG